rnacentral:lncRNA from 1 species
ACCCUAUCUCUUAAAAAAAAAAAAAAAAAAAAAAAAGCUGGGUAUGGUGGCACAUGCCUGUGUUCCCAGCUACCUGGGAGACUAAGGUGGGAGGACUGCUUGAUCCCAAGGGUUUGAGGCUGCAGUAAGCAAUGACUGCACCACUGCACUCCAGCAUGGGUGACAGAGCGAGACCUUGUCUUGAGAAAACAAAAAACAGGCCAGGUGCAGUGGCUCAUGCCUGUAAUCCCAGCACUUUGGGAGGCUGAAGAGGAUGGAUCACCUGAGGUCAGGAGUUCGAGACCAAUCUGGCCAACAUGGUGAAACCGUGUCUCUACUAAAAACACAAAAAUCAGCUGGGUAUGGUGGCAGGCAGAGGCUGAGUAGCUGGGACUACAGGAUCCCUGCCUCAGCCUCCCGAGUAGCUGGGACUACUCAGCUAAUUUUUUAGUACUUUUAGUAGAGAUGGGGUUUCACUAUGUUGGCCAGGCUAGUCUCAAACUCUGACCUCGUGAUCUGCCUACCUCAGCCUCCCAAAGUGCUGGGAUUACAGGCAUGAACCAUCACACCCAGACCAGAUGAAUCACAUUUUUGCACAUUCUUGCUAAAAUUAAAUGUCCAAUUCAUUGAAAAAUAAUUUGGCUAUUGCCAGUUCUAUGUGCAAAUAUUUGAAUUAGCAGUAUUUACUUUUCAGGGUCCUUCCCACUGCCUAUCCUUUACUCAUUCAAUUAUACAGUGUUAUGUACUUGUACAUUUGGAAGUAUAACCACUUAAAAACAUAUUUUAUUCCUCAAUAAAUAAUCCAUAUUAAGAUCAUCUACUCAAUCUAUGAAAGAACAACACCACAACUGCAGUGUAUUUUAAUGACUACUUACUCAGAAGCAUGUAACUAUUUUUACAUGUGCCAACACUGCUUUUUCAUCUUAAUUUUAAUGUGAAUUAGAAGUUAAUCUCAAGCAUUACUUAACCCCUUAAGUGGUGAGAAAAAUGUUACUCUUUUCUAAGGAAGGCAAAACAAAAGCAUUUAAAAACUAAUUUAAUUAAGGUUAAAAAUUCAUCUCCCCCUCCCCCUCCCCCUCCCCCUCCCCCUCCCCCUCUCCCUCUCCCCACAGUCUCCUUCCACGGUCUCCCUCUGAUGCCGAGCCAAAGCUGGACGGUACUGCUGCCAUCUCGGCUCACUGCAACCUCCCUGCCUGAUUCUCCUGCCUCAGCCUGCCGAGUGCCUGCGAUUGCAGGCGCGCGCUGCCACGCCUGACUGGUUUUCGUUUUUUUUUGGUGGAGACUGGGUUUUGCUGUGUUGGCCGGGCUGGUCUCCAGCUCCUAACCGCGAGUGAUCCGCCAGCCUCGGCCUCCCGAGGUGCCGGGAUUGCAGACGGAGUCUCGUUCACUCAGUGCUCAAUGGUGCCCAGGCUGGAGUGCAGUGGCGUGAUCUCAGCUCACUACAACCUACACCUCCCAGCCGCCUGCCUUGGCCUCCCAAAGAGCCGAGAUUGCAGCCUCUGCCCGGCCGCCACCCCGUCUGGGAAGUGAGGAGCGUCUCUGCCUGGCCGCCCAUCGUCUGGGAGGUGAGGAGCCCCUCUGCCUGGCUGCCCAGUCUGGAAAGUGAGGAGCGUCUCUGCCCAGCCGCCAUCCCAUCUAGGAAGUUAGGAGCGUCUCUGCCCGGCUGCCAUCCCAUCUAGGAAGUGAGGAGCAUCUCUGCCUGACCCGCCCAUCGUCUGAGUGGGGAGCGCCUCUGCCCCGCCGCCCUGUCUAGGAUGUGAGGAGCGCCUCUGCUGGGCCGCAACCCUGUCUGGGAGGUGAGGAGCGUCUCUGCCCGGCCGCCCCGUCUGAGAAGUGAGGAAACCCUCUGCCUGGCAACCGCCCCGUCUGAGAAGUGGGGAGCCCCUCCGUCCGGCAGCCACCCCGUCUGGGAAGUGAGGAGCCUCUCCGCCCGGCAGCCACCCCGUCCGGGAGGGAGGUGGGGGGGGGUCAGCCCCCCGCCCGGCCAGCCGCCCCGUCCGGGAGGUGAGGGGAUCCUCUGCCCGGCCGCCCCUACUGGGAAGUGAGGAGCCCCUCUGCCCGGCCAGUUGCCCCGUCCAGGAGGGAGG